UGGGGAAUAUUGGGCAAUGGGCGAAAGCCUUACCCAGCAAUGCCGCGUGAGUGAAGAAGGUCUUCGGAUUGUAAAGCUCUUUGAUCAGGGACGAACACAAUGACGGUACCUGAAGAACAAGCCCCGGCUAACUACGUGCCAGCAGCCGCGGUAAUACGUAGGUGGCGAGCGUUAUCCGGAAUUACUGGGUGUAAAGGGUGUGUAGGCGGGCAUGCAAGUCAGAUGUGAAAACUAUGGGCUUAACCCAUAGCCUGCAUUUGAAACUGUGAGUCUUGAGAGUGGGAGAGGUAAAUGGAAUUC
rnacentral:rRNA from 1 species